rnacentral:lncRNA from 13 species
UUUAACUGAGUAUUCUCAUGAGUACACCUGUCUCUCAACUAUGUUAAUUUAGUAACAUAUCGUCUUAGUUCUUCAUGAGUAUCUCUCUCCCUCUAGGCACCCCCAGACCCAGAGCACCAACCAGGACCCCCAACAGGACCAAGGAUCUACCCAGGGUCAGGCUCCUGAUGCUGGGUAUACAUGUCUGCAGCAUGGUGGUGUUCACGUCUACGAUACGAUCAAUCCCUCAGACAACAUUGACAAUGGUACUGUAUAGUGUAUGUUAUGUUUAAUAUGAAUACAGUAUAGAGUUACUGCUGCUGUUCUUCAUGUGUUUAAUAUGAAUACAGUAUAUUACUGCUGCUGUUCUUCAUGUGUUUAGUAUGAAUACAGUAUAUUACUGGUGCUGUUCUUCAUGUGUUUAAUAUGAAUACAGUAUAGAGUUACUGCUGCUGUUCUUCAUGUGUUUAAUAUGAAUACAGUAUAGAGUUACUGCUGCUGUUCUUCAUGUGUUUAAUAUGAAUACAGUAUAUUACUGCUGCUGUUCUUCAUGUGUUUAAUAUGAAUACAGUAUAGAGU